GCGGCAACGGGAGGCCUUCGAAGCGGGGCGGAACGCUUGCCGGUAGCGGCGGGCCCCGCGCAGACUUGGGAGUAUCUGAUGGCUGCCUAAUAAAUUUAACAGCUACGCCUGCAAGCUCUGUCCUAGAUCCCACGUUAUUCUCCUGGGACAUUGGACAGAUCUUACUUCAAAAGAGAGCUGAAAAGGAAGAGGAACUGAAAAAAGCAUUUCAGAUGCUUGAUGUUGGUUGGACCCUGACAGUCACAAAGGGUGAAUUCAGGAGAGUGAUUGGAACCUUUCUCUUCCAUCUAACAGAAGCUGAAUUUGAUGCUGUGCUGGCAGAGGUUGAACAGCCAGAGUCGCCAAACAAUGACAUUAAGUCAGCUGGAAACCCUGCUCAAAGAGAAGAUCGCAAAGAAUGUGAAAAAAUAUUAUCAGAUGCUGCAGACUUUUUGACUACGGCCGUGCAGGAUGGAUACAGAGGCACACACUAAAGCAAAUUCUUAAGACCACCUCUUUCAGGAUGAAGGAUUCAGAAUUUGAGAAACCCAGGACAGAGUUCAGGAGUUUGCAUGGAGAUACUGGUGCUUACUCCACUCUGAAAGCUGAACAGAAGAGAUAGUGAGAACCCCAGAGGCACUUCCAGAGGAAGAAGUGGUGAAAAGAGGAAAGGAUUUCCAUACUUUACUUAUAAGAGAUGGUAGGACUGCCUCUUGCUUAACCCCUUUUGUUUCUUUGGCUGACAGAGAAUAUGCAUAAGAUCUUUCUGAAAUAUUAUU
rnacentral:lncRNA from 1 species